CUUUGCAGCGUUGGUCUCCGCAGCAAGAAUCUUUUCAAUUUGAUCUUGACUUUCUUGUGAUCGGUGCUUUCAGCGCUGUUGACUGAGGAAUUUCUGGGAGGCCCUGAAGUAAAGAGAAAGAGAGUUAAUCCUGACAUUGCUUCCAGUAUACUGGGAGCCAGGCAGCUCAAGGAUUCAGUGUUUUGACUGCCGUUUCCAUGGGAUGUGGGAAGGGCUUCACAGCAAAUUAAGUACUUGCAAAAUACUGUUCCUGUUGCAAUUGGGGAAAAAUGCCUGUCAAAACUAUGCACAGCACAAUCCCACAAACAGCAUGGAGGACUCUGUUUCGGAAUAAUUUGCAGAAGAAUUACAAGUGGAACAGAUCACCAGGGAACGUGAAAUGAGGCCAGGACACUGGAGCAGCUCCUGGACGUUGUAUUGGAAAGAUGGAAGUGUUGACAUUGAGGGAGGCUGAGAUCAAAAGGAGAUCCAGCUACAUCAGCAUCAACUUCAUCUGUGCUGACAGUAUCCACCUUAAGUGGAGAAGCAAAAGAGAAUACAUUGAAUCAAUGCCAUUACACACAGAUUUCACCUGACAAAGCAGCAGCGCUCCAAAAGCUUGUGAUUUCAAAUAAACAUGUUGGACUAUGA